AGAGAAAUAAGGAUUUUAUCUUAAAAUGUAUAAUUCAGUAAUUUUAGUAUAUUUGCAAAAUUGUGCAACUAUCAUCACUAUCUAAUUCUAGAAUAUUUUCAUU